rnacentral:sRNA from 1 species
CAGUAAACUAAUACAUCAUCAUCAUUACGGGCUUCUGCGGACAACUCUACAACAGUUCAUCAAAUAUUACAGCACUACUACUACUGUAUAUUAAGGCCUCUUUCCUUUCGCUUUCGUUUCCAUACAGAAACCCCAUUCUGCGCCAUUUCAUCCCUCGGGUCUUCAAUAUGCUUCGGAUCAAUCGGAUCCCAUGGCUCCUGUGACUGCUUACAACGCUCAUCGAUGGCAGGAGUAACCUGCGAUAAGAAUGCUAUUCUGAUCUUCAACAGUGGGCACCGGAUACCAGACGCUUUCGAUGGGACGGAGGUGAGAGUGAAUGGUCAGUAUUUUUUAUCUAGAUCUCAGGAUUUUCUGCUGUUGCAACAAAAGAGCAUCGAUAGGCCCGCCCUCCUCAAGAAGAAGCAGUACCCUAUCAAGGGCCUAAGACCCCAAGAGACUACAGCAUACCACUUCCUACCCAGUCCUUAGUCUGAUCUCUCAAGAUUAAAUUGCCAUACUACGGCCGUCAGCUGAGUUUGCUUUGAUCCUGCUGCCGUUCUCGACAGUCAGUGGGCUAGAGUAGAGGAACGUGAAGUGAAGGAAACUAUUUGUGAUAAUGUGAUAGCUGUUUGCCUGGAAGCACAAGCUCUGUUGAUUGAGAGAAAGGACGGUUGGAUGCCCUAGGCCCAUAUGCCCCGCUUAGUAGGGGUGGUAUUGAUGGACAUAAUGGAAAAACAUGGGGCAGCACGCAGUGAUGAGGGCGAUGCAUGAUCAAUCUAGAAUCUAGUGUAGAAUUAUUAUAUGUAGUCAUCGAAUUAAUGCGCAGAAUUUAUUGGGGAAGGGGGAACUUUUUUUUUUCUCGCGAUACCACCUAUACCUGUUGUGCAA